rnacentral:rRNA from 1 species
AGAGUUUGAUCCUGGCUCAGGAUGAACGCUGGCGGCGUGCUUAACACAUGCAAGUCGAACGCACCUUCGGGUGAGUGGCGGACGGGUGAGUAACGCGUGGGAAUCUGCCCUUAGGAGGGGGAUAACGGCUGGAAACGGCCGCUAAUACCCCAUAUGCCGAGAGGUGAAACGAAUUUCGCCUGAGGAUGAGCCCGCGUCUGAUUAGCUAGUUGGUGGGGUAAAAGCCCACCAAGGCGACGAUCAGUAGCUGGUCUGAGAGGAUGAUCAGCCACACUGGGACUGAGACACGGCCCAGACUCCUACGGGAGGCAGCAGUGGGGAAUUUUCCGCAAUGGGCGAAAGCCUGACGGAGCAACGCCGCGUGAGGGAUGAAGGCCUCUGGGCUGUAAACCUCUUUUCUCAAGGAAGAAGACAUGACGGUACUUGAGGAAUAAGCCACGGCUAAUUCCGUGCCAGCAGCCGCGGUAAUACGGGAGUGGCAAGCGUUAUCCGGAAUUAUUGGGCGUAAAGCGUCCGCAGGCGGCUCUGUAAGUCUGUUGUUAAAGCGUGGAGCUCAACUCCAUUUCAGCAAUGGAAACUACAGGGCUUGAGUGUGGUAGGGGCAGAGGGAAUUCCCGGUGUAGCGGUGAAAUGCGUAUAUAUCGGGAAGAACACCAGUGGCGAAGGCGCUCUGCUGGGCCAUAACUGACGCUCAUGGACGAAAGCCAGGGGAGCGAAAGGGAUUAGAUACCCCUGUAGUCCUGGCCGUAAACGAUGAACACUAGGUGUCGGGGGAAUCGACCCCCUCGGUGUCGUAGCCAACGCGUUAAGUGUUCCGCCUGGGGAGUACGCACGCAAGUGUGAAACUCAAAGGAAUUGACGGGGGCCCGCACAAGCGGUGGAGUAUGUGGUUUAAUUCGAUGCAACGCGAAGAACCUUACCAGGGUUUGACAUCCUGCGAAUCCCUUGGAAACUUGGGAGUGCCUUCGGGAGCGCAGAGACAGGUGGUGCAUGGCUGUCGUCAGCUCGUGUCGUGAGAUGUUGGGUUAAGUCCCGCAACGAGCGCAACCCACGUCUUUAGUUGCCAGCAUUCAGUUGGGCACUCUAGAGAGACCGCCGGUGAUAAACCGGAGGAAGGUGUGGAUGACGUCAAGUCAUCAUGCCCCUUACAUCCUGGGCUACACACGUACUACAAUGCUACGGACAGAGGGCAGCAAGCUCGCGAGAGUUAGCAAAUCCCAUAAACCGUGGCUCAGUUCAGAUCGUAGGCUGCAACUCGCCUACGUGAAGGAGGAAUCGCUAGUAAUCGCAGGUCAGCAUACUGCGGUGAAUACGUUCCCGGGCCUUGUACAC